rnacentral:rRNA from 1 species
AGUGAACGCUGGCGGUAGGCCUAACACAUGCAAGUCGAACGGCAGCACAGUAAGAGCUUGCUCUUACGGGUGGCGAGUGGCGGACGGGUGAGGAAUACAUCGGAAUCUACUUUUUCGUGGGGGAUAACGUAGGGAAACUUACGCUAAUACCGCAUACGACCUACGGGUGAAAGCAGGGGAUCUUCGGACCUUGCGCGAUUGAAUGAGCCGAUGUCGGAUUAGCUAGUUGGCGGGGUAAAGGCCCGCCAAGGCGACGAUCCGUAGCUGGUCUGAGAGGAUGAUCAGCCACACUGGAACUGAGACACGGUCCAGACUCCUACGGGAGGCAGCAGUGGGGAAUAUUGGACAAUGGGCGAAAGCCUGAUCCAGCCAUGCCGCGUGUGUGAAGAAGGUCUUCGGAUUGUAAAGCACUUUAAGUGGGGAGGAAGGGCAGUAAGUUAAUACCUUGCUGUUCUGACGGUACCAACAGAAUAAGCACCGGCUAACUUCGUG